UGUGUGUGAGUGAAACCAGACUCUUGCCAAACUCCUGAUAACUCCUGCACAGCAGCACCUAGCGUGGAACUUACUAUGGCAAAUCAUGAAACCUCUCAAAUGGAUUCUAUAAGAACAUCGUUGAAGCAUUAUAUCUGUUUUUGUAUCCUCUAAAAAGAAAUCGCUUUCACGACUCCAAUAAAAAAGAUUACAUUUAUCAUCCUGUAAUUUGUGUUUAUGAGCUGUACCGUUUUAUUCUAGCAUACUUACCGGUAAAGUUUCGAAAGCUAAACGUAUACGUGAAAUUCGAAGGAUAUUUUCUGAUUUUAGCAGCAUUUUUAGCAAUUUAAAACGUUUUGCAACUUAAAUAUCUCUAUUUUUACUAACUCUAACAGAAACUUUUUGUAACAUUUGCAGAACGAUGAUAUAAUCCGAAAUUAAUAUUAUAUGAUUCCGUAUAUUUGCAGAAAAGCUAAUAAAUCUAGAGGAAGGUAUUAAAACAAAACUUAAGGUGCGCGUAUAUGCCAUAUGGUACGGUAAGGACAGGACCACGAGAAGUAGCCGGAAGUAGCACCCUGAAAGCUGUAGGUGUGCAGUGGCAUGAGUUAAUCGCGGCAUGACGCAUCCAUCAAGGUCCUCUGAAUCCGGGGCGCAGCUGCUUGCCAGACUUGAAGGAAAACGAUGCCUGAAGGGGUUAGAUUUUCAGCUUUUUCCUGAUGACUGUUGUCCAGCUCAGGGAGAUGUGGUCGAGUUCCACGGUAUGGAAGGAACAGGCAAGACAGAGACCUUGUACCACCUGGUGACCUGUUGCAUCCUCCCAGGGGAGCUUGGUGGCCUGGAGGUGGAAGUGAUGUACGUGGACACUGACUACCACUUUGACAUUCUGCGCCUGGUGUCCAUCCUGGAGCACCGGCUGCCCCAGGGCUCAGAGGAGAUUCUGCGAGCAUGCCUGUGCCGUAUAUCGGUAGUCCACUGCUCCAGCAGCCUCCAGCUGCUGCUCACGCUGCACCAUGUGGAGGGCACACUCCUCAACCGGCCCUCCCUGAGCCUCCUGGUCAUCGACAGCAUCUCCGCCUUCUACUGGGUGGAUAAAUACAAUGGGGGGGACAGCGUGGCCCGUCAGGAGGCCAACCUCCGGAGGAUCGCCGAACUCCUGGAGAAAAUCGUGAAGGAGCACCGCAUUGCAGUGUUUGCCACCACUCAUGCCGUCAUGAGGAGUAACUCUGCAGAGGAGGUGGCUGAGGGGCUGUGAAUUUACAUUUCAUUUACUUCUUUGGAUUUGGGCGAUUGAUUAUGUGUCGCUUUCCGCGCGCAGUCGUGCACAUGCAGUAGAUCAGUGUUUCUCAAGCUGGUCCUGAAGGACCCCCAGACUGUCCACAUUGCUGCCUCCCAGUUCACAGCACACCAAUGCCAGAUAUUCACCGUUCUUGAUUGAUUGGUUCGGGUGUUCCGGGAGACAAAUGUGGACUGUGGGGAGGGGGAACCGAAGGACUUGUAAAACACUUCUGUAGAUGUUGUGUUCCACCCCUGAUCGUGGAGGAUUGCAUCAUCCAGAAGAGGGCGCUAAUGGCCACCGGGGGUGAUGGUGUGAAUCUGAUAUGGACGUGAGCCAUGGAGCAUGAAGAACAGGAAAGUCAUCCGUAGCUCUAGUCCCUUUUUGUUUCAGGAAAAUCUGUUUCGGCUUUUUUCUGGCAUUGCACAGCUCUAAGGCUUAGUUACGCACUCUUAAGUCCUCUUACAUUCGGACACAAGUGCAAAUUAAUUCAAUUUAUAAUGAAUGCAAACACUGAGAACCAGCGAAUAAUAUUUACCCCAUGACCGCGCUGUUGGAUGAAUCAUUUCCAACCCUGGGUUUUGGCGGCUCAUUCUGAACAUAACCUUCAGUGGGCUCAUCCUUUGAAAUAUAAAUGCCACUAAAAUGCAUCUUUCCCCCCCCGUCCCAUGCUUUGUGCCUCCUCUGAAUAGGAAAUUGCCAAAAUUGCCCCAGCUGGUAGGAGUUAAUGCUGAGAAGCUCUCCACUUUGUCUAAUUAUCGUUUGACUUCUGACACGGGUGGGCCGCAUCCCAUAAUAAUGCCUUCUAAAACCCAUAAAUCGCCCCUGCAAUUAGGCCUGUAAAUGUGUCCCAUGCACGGAUAUGGCUAAUCGCUCCCCCGUACCCGCCAGCUGUACUGUAAAUAACAGUUGCGGUUACUUUUCACCAUUAAUCCUAAUAUUCCUUUGGUGGCUUCUCCUCCUUAACCGUCCUGCAUGGAAUAAUUAACUCCAAGUAGAUAGCUAUUAUUAACGAGUUUCUGUAGGAAGGCCUGGUCACACCAGCUGUU